UUUAAUUAAUAGGUCCCAUCCCAAGAGGCCACAUUACCGGAGGGUGUGGGUGGACAGGAGGCACUAGACAUUUGAGGAGGGGGUGUGUCUACAUGAAGUUGAGCAUGAGAGCGUCUAUGUCUGGCGUGAGAAAUUAUACAAAUUGAUUCCGCCUUCUUUCAGGUCUCAAAUUGCUGCCAGAUCCAAAGUAAUUAUCAAAAUAUACUAAAAGGAAAGAUUCCAACAGAAGAUUCCCUCCCUGAUAGUUCAUGGAGUACAUUGAAGGCAAUAUUAAGACAAAAUAUUAAUAAAUUUGGAAACAUUUACUAUAGAUUUGUAUCUAGAGAACACAUUA
rnacentral:lncRNA from 1 species